rnacentral:rRNA from 1 species
CAGUCGCCACGGGAAUACAGAGGGUGCAAACGUUGUUCGGAAUUACUGGGCGUAAAGCGAGUGUAGGCGGUUCGGUAAGUCGGAUGUGAAAGCCCCGGGCUCAACCCGGGAAGUGCACUCGAUACUGCCAAGCUAGAGUACUGGAGAGGUUGGUGGAAUUCUCGGUGUAGAGGUGAAAUUCGUAGAUAUCGAGAGGAACACCGGUGGCGAAGGCGGCCAACUGGACAGAUACUGACGCUGAGACUCGAAAGCGUGGGGAGCAAACAGGAUUAGAUACCCCCGUAGUCCCUGUCUCUUAUAC